rnacentral:rRNA from 1 species
GGGUGAGUAAUGUCUGGGGAUCUGCCCGAUAGAGGGGGAUAACCACUGGAAACGGUGGCUAAUACCGCAUAACGUCGCAAGACCAAAGAGGGGGACCUUCGGGCCUCUCACUAUCGGAUGAACCCAGAUGGGAUUAGCUAGUAGGCGGGGUAAUGGCCCACCUAGGCGACGAUCCCUAGCUGGUCUGAGAGGAUGACCAGCCACACUGGAACUGAGACACGGUCCAGACUCCUACGGGAGGCAGCAGUGGGGAAUAUUGCACAAUGGGCGCAAGCCUGAUGCAGCCAUGCCGCGUGUAUGAAGAAGGCCUUCGGGUUGUAAAGUACUUUCAGCGGGGAGGAAGGCGAUGUGGUUAAUAACCUUACCGAUUGACGUUACCCGCAGAAGAAGCACCGGCUAACUCCGUGCCAGCAGCCGCGGUAAUACGGAGGGUGCAAGCGUUAAUCGGAAUUACUGGGCGUAAAGCGCACGCAGGCGGUCUGUUAAGUCAGAUGUGAAAUCCCCGGGCUUAACCUGGGAACUGCAUUUGAAACUGGCAGGCUUGAGUCUUGUAGAGGGGGGUAGAAUUCCAGGUGUAGCGGUGAAAUGCGUAGAGAUCUGGAGGAAUACCGGUGGCGAAGGCGGCCCCCUGGACAAAGACUGACGCUCAG